rnacentral:lncRNA from 14 species
ACACAACCACCUUAGUCUUAACAAUUGGCUUUUCCCCACUUCAAGUGGGAGGCUGUUCUCAGUGCCUUUCACUUUAGAAGUAGUGGUAAAACUUGGUGCUCAGAGCUUCAUACCUAUGAUAAAAACAUGUAUAGCUGAUUUGGAUUGAAUUCUGGGUGGGAAGAUCUCACCUCAGUCUAAUCUCUGAAAGCAGCUCACAAAAGCAAAAGAUCAAAAUCUAGCAUGUUCUACUUGAGCCAGUUCUGAAUGUUAACCACUUAGUAUCUCUUAUGCCCUCCUGGGAGCAUGAAAUAACUGCAGCUCCCUAACUGAAUAAGCUGGCAUUUAGAUUUGAGGUUUUCUAAUUUCUAUCCAAAUCCAGUUUCAUGUGGAACUGGAAAACCAAAUGGGAUCAUUUCAGCCUCUGAGUAUUUCCUGGUAGGCCAUAAAUGAAGCAGUGUGGUCCAGCACUACCAUAAGGAUUAAAAAUAACAGAAUAUUGAAUAGUAGCUACAGUUGGAGUUCAUGUAGCACUAGAAAUUCUGAUCUUAAAAGUUUCAUGUAAGUAACAGUAGUCCUGGUCUAGGCCAGAAUUUGGAAUGACAGUCUGUAUGCAGGUACCAGUGAAAGAAGCUGCCUUGGUCUUCUUUUAAAAGGGAGUUUGAUUCCUGUGAGGCUGAAAUACUGGGCCUUUUAAGGCUGGACAAAGCCACAGUGUCAGCCUGAGCAUAGUCACAUUUUUUGAAAUAGAAUAGUGUGUUGGAAGCUAUUCAUCCUAUGGUAAAGUGAUGAUGUGAGUUAAGUUCUGAGGCCAAAAAGCUGAGCUAAAAAUAGCACUGUUCUUAUUUGGUGCAGCCUGUUAAAUGUUACUUCCCUGUUAAUGUUGCUCCAGUUGGUGGCUGGGUUUUUUUGUUGUUUUUUUUUAACUGCAGUUUUCUUUUCAUCAUUUUUGGACUCUUUUUCUUUGUUCUGGUUUUUCUUUUCUGUGAUUUGGUCUCAUUACUGUAGACAGGUUUCUAUAAAGGAGGGUGAGAGAAAAGCCCAAGAACUGAAUAUGAUGUAUACUGAAACCAGUGCUAAAGCAGGAUAUAAUGUGAAACAGGCAAAUCACCACAGAAGAAGGUGAACAGAGAGCCAAAGAGCUGAAUGUGAUGUUUAUUGAGACCAGUGCAAAGACUGGAUACAAUGUGAAACAGGUAGAUCAAAGUUCUCUUCUAAAGUCAGGAUAUCUGUAUUUCACUGCUCUCUAUGCAUAUGCUUCUGCUCGGGGUUCAUGCUCCAUUGGAUAUUUGCUUAUAUUGUUCAGUGUCAGCUGAAUAAUGUGAAUGAACAAUGAACUGAAAUGCAUCUUGCUCCUUACCAUUAAUCAGGAUUUCUUGUAUUUCAGUUUGCAUCCAUAGCUUCUUGCUACAAGCUUGUGAUUGUAUAGUUCUUGAACUAGAAACUAGUUCAGCAAUCGUUCAUAAGUGUGACAGAACACUGGGAGUAAGGCAGCUGUCAGGUGCAGGGGUCUGCAGGGGCCAUGAGUGCUGCUGGUGUACUGGGAAACACACCAGUUUGUUGUACAUCAACUGGCUAGGAGCACCUCGCAAUGGUAUUAGGAAACUUUGGGUUUGUUUCUUUUGGCUGUUCUGGAUUGAAGACCAAGGAACCACUUUAGUCUUUGGUUCUAACUUAGCUGCUUUAUUUGCCUGCGGGUGUUUGCAGUGAGAAGAAGGAUGUGAACUGCAGCACCUUGAUGGUACCUCAGCGGCUGGAUUUUCCAAGUAACACAAUUUGGAGGGGUUGAUGAGGAAUCCCUGCCAAGCUACUGUGAGAAAAUAAUCAUUAGCAGAUGAUUCCUCUUGUCCUAUGUGCAGCACUUCUGGCCUAACUGCCUGGGAGUGUGCGUAGUGUGUUAGCUGCUGCAUUCCUGUCAGCAGGAGGAGCUCUAAGCAUUGACUUGAAUGAUGCAAAACCUUUUUCUGGGUUUCUUUUUUGGGGGUUUUUUUGGAGGGGUUGUGAUAGCCCUUCCCAGCCCUUAGCACAUCCUUCAUAGCUCAAAGCAGUUCACUUGAGCCAGCUGUUGGUGUUGGUCUAUAAAACCUCAGGUAUUCCAUAGACUUCUUAAACCUUUGGUCUCUUUUGAGAUAGGUCAUCAGAAGUCCUUAGCUGGGCUGUGUAAUAUUGCUGUGUGCAAAAGCAGCUGAGGCUGGAAAUGGCAAAUGAUAUUCUUGCUUAGAGCAGGAGGGAAUUGUUCUGCACGUCCCUGCAGGAACUGCUAUGAUUAAUUUCAUGUUCUGUCCAAGCAGAAACGGGUAAAAUAAAACUGUUUUGUAGGAAUUGAAUAACUGCUUU